rnacentral:lncRNA from 1 species
GUUUCGAUCUGAAUAAUUGAGGAGCGAUUCAGCAGCAGCCGCUGCCUCCUGCCUUCCUUUAUCACCACCACCGCCUCCAUCUCAGCUGUAAGUGCAGACCGCCGGACAUUAGCAUCCAAUCCAGACCAUCACCUCCAGCCCCUCUGAGGUUCAUGCCCAAGACCAGGCUGCCGUGGCUCCCACUGGGCCUUUCUUAAAGGGACAAGCACUAAUUGCUCCAUGAGUUCCAGAAUCAUCCACUGAGGCUUCCAUAGUCCUUUUCCAUCCGCAAGCCUUCACUGCAACGCUACUGUUCAAGAUGAGUGGCUUUCUGUCCUCACUGGACCCCCGGCGGGUACAGUGGGGGGCUGCCUGGUAUGCAAUGCACUCUCGGAUCCUGCGCACCAAGCCGGUGGAGUCCAUGCUGGAAGGAACUGGGGCCACCUCAGCGCACGGUACCAAGCUAGCCCAGGUGCUCACCACUGUAGACCUCAUCUCUCUCGGAGUCGGCAGCUGUGUGGGCACGGGCAUGUAUGUGGUGUCUGGCCUGGUG